rnacentral:rRNA from 1 species
GACGAACGCUGGCGGCGCGCUUAACACAUGCCAGUCGAACGGAAAGGCCUGCUUUCCCUUGUGGAUUGCGGGUACUCGAGUGGCGAACGGGUGAGUAACACGUGAGUGAUCUGCCCCCAACUUGGGUAUAAGCCUGGGAAACUGGGUCUAAUUCCCGAUAGGACUGCAGGGUGGUGCCUGUGGUGGAAAACGAUUUUCUAGUGGUUGGGGAUGAGCUCGCGGCCUAUCAGCUUGUUGGUGGGGUAAUGGCCUACCAAGGCGGCGACGGGUAGCCGGCCUGGGAGGGUGGACGGCCACAUUGGGACUGAGAUACGGCCCAGACUCCUACGGGAGGCAGCAGUGGGGAAUAUUGCACAAUGGGCGGAAGCCUGAAGCAGCGACGCCGCGUGGGGGAUGACGGCCUUCGGGUUGUAAACUCCUUUCGACCGCGAGGAAGCCACCUGGUUGGAAGGGUGGUGACGGUAGUGGUAGAAGAAGCACCGGCUAACUACGUG